UACGUAGGGUGCAAGCGUUGUCCGGAAUUAUUGGGCGUAAAGGGCUCGUAGGCGGUUUGUUGCGUCGGCUGUGAAAUCCCGAGGCUCAACCUCGGGUCUGCAGUCGAUACGAGCAAACUAGAGUGUUGCAGGGGAGACUGGAAUUCCUGGUGUAGCGGUGAAAUGCGCAGAUAUCAGGAGGAACACCGGUGGCGAAGGCGGGUCUCUGGGCAACAACUGACGCUGAGGAGCGAAAGCAUGGGGAGCGAACAGG
rnacentral:rRNA from 1 species